GAGGCAGCAAUGGGCCGGCUGCCUGGGCUCCAUGAAUGCACAGGACACCUUUCAACCCCCAACCCCACCCCCAGGAAGAUGAAAGCAAGGGCAGCAAACUCCCGAGCCACAACUACCUCAUCUACAAAGUGGGCUACCUUCCUCUCGCAGGGCAGCAGCUCACCAGGGCCUGGGCUCGGAGGCCAGACCAGCUUCCCUUGCUGCGAAGCUGGGAGCAUCCUACUGUGAUGGGGGUGUGGCUGACCCUCUCUGGGCACAUAUCCUACCCUUCCUCCUCCUUCACAGCCUGCUUAAGGAGGACUGGGAUCAUUAGGCAGAUCCAAACUGUGGUUUGGAGCUUUCGGGAAAACAAGCCCCAUCAAUGCAAUUUCCUUGUUAAUACCGUGCCACUGGUCCUGAAGCUCCCCUCCCCCAGGCACUGUGCCCCAGAUUCACCCACUUUGGUAGUGAGGUGCUCC
rnacentral:lncRNA from 1 species